rnacentral:lncRNA from 1 species
CUAAAGGAUUUCAUGUCUCAGGAGGCUGGUGGUGGCCAUGAUCUGGGCGGGACUAGCAGAGGCCUCAGCUAAGGAGCAUCAGCUUGGGGCUAUGGGUAGUUUGCCUGGUGCCUCUUAUGGGAGCAAUGGGGGUGAUGGCCUAGCUGGGUCCUUGGCCCCGGGAGGGUCCCUUGGCUGCAGUGCACCCCAGUGCUGAGGGGCAACUCCCAGUGCUGGAGUUCGGUGGUCAUUGGCACCAGUGGUAGCCAGCGCUGGGGUAUUCCUCCAUCCUAGGAAUGAAGAUGGGUCACGUGGGAUCUUGGCUCAUACCCAGAGUGUCCUUGACAAGGUGGACGCAAGGCCAAGCCCAACCACCACGAGACACCACGCACCCCUCCCAUGCAACACUCCCUUGUUGUAUCCAUGUCCCAGAGUUUCUCUUGGAGCCAGGCCAUUCCCCAUGGUGCUCAUUUCUGCCUGGGGGCUUUCCAUCAACCCCAUAUGUCUUGGGGUUGUGAAGGCCUUGCACUGUGAUCAGAAGCAUACAAACCAAUGGGUUUGGUGGCAAACAUGGCAAAAUGGAGACUUUCUGGGCAUCAGCUGGGUAGCAUCAGGGCCUUCCUAGGCCUGCUAAAAUCUGGGAAGCCAAGGCCAUCCAGACAGAAGGACCUGUUGGGCUCAGCCUGGGGACACCCUGCUGUAUGCCAGAAGGGUCUACUGGGGUGCUCAGGCAGCAACCCCCUGCCCUACUCAGGGUCUCUGAGGUUCAAUUGGGCCAGGACCAACAUUGGGUGCAGGGAUGAGGCUUGGAGGAUGCACCCCUUUGCAGGACAUGGUCAGGUAAAGCAGAGGAUCGAGCCAUUUCCUGGGUCAUUCUGGCCCUUUUGAGUGUGUUCAGGAGUUUACCAAGUGAAGAGGGGCUUGUGUCCAAAGGUGGGGAUCUGCACUGCUUCACAGAAUUCAAGAGUGGAAAGGGACCUAGAGGACCCUCUUGAGAAGACAAGUCGAAUGUACUGUUUCUUUGGUAGGACUGAAAAAUGCAUAAGGAGGUGAUGGGCCUCUGAGGCCUGAAUUCUGGAAGCAGAGGACCAAAAGUGGAAAAGGUCUUGAAAGACACAUAGUCCUCCCUUCCACAUGAAUUCAGCGAGAGAGCAAGCCAUGUGGAUUGGUGUGCCCUUCCCUGUCCAUGUGCACAGAGACUGCCAUCCAAACAGACAUUCAAAUUCUACCUGUAUGCACUCUUGCUGUUGAGUAGGGGCCUAUGUUCCCAGAACCAACGGGAUGCCAUUCAACUAGGACUUGACUCACCUUGGCUUUGGGGACCAAGAAGGAAGGUUCACCAAGGUGGUGGUGGUAGAAGUGGAGGAGGUGGCACAGGCCUUGGGCUCUUGGGCAUUUUUUUUCCGCCACCUCUCAACCUACCUGCAUGAUUUCUCACACAUUUAAUUGCAUCUCUUACAGUUUUAAAGGCACGUUGGCAGGAAGUCCUGGAUAGUAAAAGAAACACAAACACGGAGACAGUAGGGGAGGAAGCAGGCCCCAGUGGGAGUGGACCAAAGAGCAGUGAGCCUGGGGGUGGAAAUAGAGAGUGAAAGAGCACGCAGUAGAAAAGAGACAGAGAUAGAGAAAUAAAUGUGCAAAAUCUCAGAGAAGUGUGUGGGGGUCAAGGAGUCCAGAAGGGGUCAGAGAGGUAGCAGUUUGGGAUUACUGUGUUUCUUCUGUUACCUCUGUCUUCAGAACAACGUUCAAUGUCACUGUGUUCCUGCAGCACAAAUUAGGCAUUUGCCCGCGCCUUCACUGCCCCAACACGGUGACCAUAAGGUUUCCGUCACAGAAUUUUUGUGGGGAGGAAGAUCAGAACACUUGGGUUUUGACCAUCUACCACUCCCCCAUAGCACACACAAGUCCUCAACAACUUGCACUCCUCUGUAGAGAAGCCUUCUGGGGAGAGCUCUCCAGAGGUUGACAUAGGCCAGGUGUUAGAAGGACAGGUGUGCUUGGAGUGGCUCCUGGCUUUCAAUUUGGUCCCGUCUGACCUAUUCUGGCUUGGGCUCUCCCCCACCCCCUUACCAGGGCUGCUGUGUGAGAAAAGCCAGGGGCUCAGUCCUUCUAUACUGGGAUUGUAAGUUUUAGUGCCACACCCUAGGGGCCAAUGGGAUGCUGGUAGCCUUUGACCACGUGGUAGGUUCCAGGAUGAGCUGGACAGCCAGGAUUCCUGGUGCAACUCAUACAGGAAGCCAUGGCUGGGGAGCCUGGUGGCAGUCAUUAUCUGGGUGGGCCUAGCGAGGCCUCAGCCAAGGAGCAUCGGCUCAGAGCCCUGGACAGUUUGCCUUGUGCCCCUUCCCCUGGGAGCAACGAGGGUGAUGCCUAGCUGGGUCUACAGCCCUGGAAGACUCUCUUGGCCACGCUGCAUGCCAGUGAGGAGGGGCCACUACUAGCGCUG